rnacentral:rRNA from 1 species
AGGGCAAGUCUGGUGCCAGCAGCCGCGGUAAUUCCAGCUCCAAUAGCGUAUAUUAAAGUUGUUGCAGUUAAAAAGCUCGUAGUUGAAUUUCGGGGUUCUACCGUUGGUCGGGCUAUUGUCUGUACUGGCGUGUAGAAUUUCUACCUUCUGGAGAACUAUCAUGUUAUUAAUUUAGCGUGGUAGGAAACCAGGACCUUUACCUUGAAAAAAUUAGAGUGUUUAAAGCAGGCUAACGCUUGAAUACAUUAGCAUGGAAUAAUGAAAUAGGACGUUCGAUCCUAUUUUGUUGGUUUCUAGGAUUGACGUAAUGAUUAAUAGGGAUAGUUGGGGGCAUUAGUAUUCAAUUGUCAGAGGUGAAAUUCUUGGAUUUAUUGAAGACUAACUACUGCGAAAGCAUUUGCCAAGGAUGUUUUCAUUAAUCAAGAACGAAAGUUAGGGGAUCGAAGACGAUCAGAACCGUCGUAGUCUUAACCAUAAACUAUGCCGACUAGGGAUCGGAUGAUGUUAAUUUUUUAAUGACUCUUCGGCGCCUUACGGGAA